CUCCUCGCUUCAUUUUUUUGAGAGAAUUGGUUCACAAUUUCCGCAUCCGUUACGAGUGAUGAUUAUAAAUUAGUAACAAACCGAUUUUUCUGGCGCUCUCAUACCUUAUCCUUCCAUCCGCCUCGCACAUCCCAAACCGAAACGGCCGGCUCCCCGGCACACGUCAGCAGUGGAACUGCGGCGGCGCCACCAUCACUCCCCGGCGACCGAUCUAGAUUACAGCUUGCAUCGGCCAACGGAUCGGAGAGCACAAGACCGUCCGAACCUGAGAUUUAUGGGCAUAAGAGAUCUGAAAGAGACGCAUGUGGUCCCGUCCUGGAUCUCAUUGUUUGCUGAAUUUUUGUGGACGGAAGAAUUUUACGGUGCUUUGUGGAUGUUCCUUAUGGAUGGGGGCUGGGAGUCUCAUGUGGAAGAAUUGAUUCAUAUGGCUUCUGGCGGUCAAUGCCGUAGUGUCGCAUUAUCGAUCCCAGCUAGCCGUAAACAGAUUGACAUAUAUCUUGAAUUAUUUUGUUAGUGGACGUAUGAUCAAAUGGAUUCAGAGAUACUCUUUCUGUUCCAAAAGGAGGGAGUAGUGAUUCCCGCUGCUAUUUCAUCUUUGGGUAAGUAGUAUACCCCGCAAAAAGAAACAGUAGCUCUGGUUGCUAAUUUUAUCACUCUGUAGAAACCUUUCAUUGAAGGAUCAAGAACCGCACCUUGCUGCCAUCUUUCUUUAUAUGUUCAGUUUCGUCUUUGUAUGAAAUUGCUGCUGGAAUAUUUUGGAAAGGAACGUACAUUUCCCUGUA